UUUUCUCAAUCAAGGCUUGUUGGAUGGCCGUCAAAUCCACCACACACGUAUGCAACUAUUAUAUGUGCAAGCCUUAACACCAAGAUUCAUAUGAGUAAUUCCUAUGGACAAUAAAACAAAGGCCAGGUGUGCACUGUUAACUAAAUAAAUAUUGCAAAGAAGAUUCAGCUGUCCAUUUCCUUCCUUGUGUCCUGACCGGCACCCCUCUGUGACACUACUACACCUAACCAGGAAUAGUCAUACAGUCCUUCAACUCCAUUUCACUUGGUUACGGACAGAACUGACUUCCAGUUGGACGUCACGGACUGGCAAGUCAUUUGAAUAGUGUAAAGGUGUCUGGGAAAGGAGGGAAAAAGAAGGAGGCUCAAGGCGGACCGGCAGUGUGGACUAGGGAAAUCCACCCAUAUUGUUUCAGGAACACCACCACCAAA